rnacentral:rRNA from 1 species
CCUACGGGGGGCUGCAGUGGGGAAUAUUGCACAAUGGGGGAAACCCUGAUGCAGCAACGCCGCGUGAGCGAAGAAGGCCUUCGGGUCGUAAAGCUCUGUCCUCAGGGAAGAAACAUGACGGUACCUUAGGAGGAAGCCCCGGCUAACUACGGGCCAGCAGCCGGGGCAAUACGAAGGGGGCGAGAGUUAUCCGGAAUCACUGGGCGUAAGGGGUGCGUAGGCGGCCAAUUAAGCCGGGGGUGAAAGGCUACGGCCAAACCGGAGUAAGCCCUUGGAACUGAAUGGCUUGAGGGCAGGAGAGAGGAGUGGAAUUCCUAGUGUAGCGGUGAAAUGCGUAGAUAUUAUGAGGAACACCAGUGGCGAAGGCGACUCUCUGGACUGUAACUGACGCUGAGGCACGAAAGCGUGGGGAGCAAACAGGAUUAGAUACCCCAGUAGUC